GUGGUUGUAGCUCAGCUGGUAGAGCGCCAGAUUGUGGUUCUGGAUGUCGCGGGUUCGAGCCCCGUCUUCCACC
rnacentral:tRNA from 1 species